rnacentral:rRNA from 1 species
UACGGGGGGAGCAAACGUUGUUCGGAUUUACUGGGCGUAAAGGGCGCGUAGGCGGUCAGCACAAGUCAGUUGUGAAAUCUCCGGGCUUAACUCGGAAAGGUCAACUGAUACUGUGCGACUAGAGUGCAGAAGGGGCAACUGGAAUUCUCGGUGUAGCGGUGAAAUGCGUAGAUAUCGAGAGGAACACCUGCGGCGAAGGCGGGUUGCUGGGCUGACACUGACGCUGAUGCGCGAAAGCCAGGGGAGCGAACGGG